ensembl:lncRNA
AAAAGUUGUACAAUACCCCAAAAAACUACUUAAGUAGUACUUUAAAGUAUUUUUACUUAAGUACUUUACACCACUGGAGACAGAUUUGACAAUGUUAUGAGAAUGCAGGUGAAAGAGACUAUUCUUAAAGUCUUAGAAGACAUGUAUUCCUGGAUGUCAAUACACAGAGUGCCAUGUUCUAUGCUGUCAGCAAUGCCACAAGCAAUACUCAAUUCAACGUAUUUUUGGACAACCGUGGAGACUAAGGCCUACAUUCAAUCUGUAAAAGGCUGCUGUGGUCAGAGGUCCUAAAUUCCUGAGAAGACCUCAUGGACACACAGUUAUAGAGAGUCGUUUUUCAUGGAGGCAAAGGAAAUCCUUCCACCUCACAGAACUUGAGAUACGAACCAAUUUCAUGUUCCGGAGAAAGUGUAAAAGAUCGGUGAAGAAUCAAGCUACGAACUGGUCCGUUUGUCACAACUUGGGAAGCUCAUGGGAGACGGUGUGACCACAUUACCAUAACGCUGUUUAUAUAAUAGCCACAGAGAUAAGGUUUACAUCUAAUUGUAGUAUUAGAUGAAUGAGUGAGUAUGAUACUGUUUACACAAUUUUACAAUAUGAUUUUGGACUGUUUAAUGAAGGAAAACUCAAAAAAGGGAAUUGGAUUUGAACUAAAUCAGAGGACCGCCCCUGAGGCCAGUUAAGGUCAGACAUCCUGGGACUGCCCUUUUCUGCCAUUCCGAAUAAAACCCAACUUUGAGAAAUCAUCACCAGACCAUGUUUUUCUCCAUUAGGAGGGGGACAAAGGUUGCAGACCAUUGCUGAAUCUUUUAACCAUACUACGUGGUUAAACUCUUAGACUAUCGAUACCAACAGAAUGAGAACAAGUCUUUGAUAUUAAUUACUAGUCUGCAGCUAGGAAUUUGGUAUCAUUGAACGCGAAGAACGACAACCGCCGAAACAACCAUUCUGUAACGAAUGUCACUUUGAACUAUCCCCUCUAACCAAGACAGAGAGAGGGAGAGAGACGGACAAUUCUACGAAAGACACAAACUUUUCACCAGCGAUCAAGACGAAACACUGAGCGUAAAUAUAUACAUUGAUUGCAAUUGUUCCCGAAUGAGUGAGCGUUCAUGUGUAAAGGAUUAGCAUUUUAAUUGUUAUAAUUAUCACUCUGUCGUGACUUCUUAGUUGACCCCCACUUUCCCUUUUGUCUAACAAGCCGCCAUGCCGGUUCAGCCCACUAGGGCACAUUUUCCUAUCAUUUCAUGUAACCACA